UUGUGCUAUGCGGGGCGCUAGCGGUGCCUUGUCACUCGAAAUCCGCUAUAUGCGAGGCUGAAUCCCCAACAGAGGGUUUCUCUCCUGAACAUGCAGACAUGCUGACCGGCCGCCGCGCAACAGACGGUCACGAACCUCGUCAGGUCCGGAAGGAAGCAGCGAUAAGAGAUGCAGUCUGUGUCGUGGAUCGAUCCCGGUCAUAUUCAUGGCUCUUUUCAGGAAGGAAUUCGACGGCGGGUGCACAA
rnacentral:SRP_RNA from 1 species